rnacentral:ncRNA from 2 species
AUUUUGCCUCGAAAUUUUGGUUCAGCAUCGAUUUAUUUCUGUGCGGAUUAAAAGGGAAUCAGGGAGAAGUGUAAACUUCAAAAACCUGAGCUGUUCCCGCAACUGUAAGCUUUGCCCGCAAGGGUGGCUGCAAUAAUUCUUCAAACCACUGUUCUUAGGAAUGGGAAGGUGAAUUGCAGUACGUGAGCCAGGAGACCUGCCUGAAUUUCAACCAGUAU